rnacentral:tRNA from 1 species
GGAGUUGUGGAUCAGAGGUAGAGCACUCGCCUGGUACAUGUGAGGCACUGGGUUCAAUCCUCAGCACCA